ACUCUAGAGAUAGAGUCUUCCCCUUCGGGGGACAAAGUGACAGGUGGUGCAUGGUUGUCGUCAGCUCGUGUCGUGAGAUGUUGGGUUAAGUCCCGCAACGAGCGCAACCCUUAAGCUUAGUUGCCAGCAUUAAGUUGGGCACUCUAAGUUGACUGCCGGUGACAAACCGGAGGAAGGUGGGGAUGACGUCAAAUCAUCAUGCCCCUUAUGAUUUGGGCUACACACGUGCUACAAUGGACAAUACAAAGGGCAGCUAAACCGCGAGGUCAUGCAAAUCCCAUAAAGUUGUUCUCAGUUCGGAUUGUAGUCUGCAACUCGACUACAUGAAGCUGGAAUCGCUAGUAAUCGUAGAUCAGCAUGCUACGGUGAAUACGUUCCCGGGUCUUGUACACACCGCCCGUCACACCACGAGAGUCUGUAACACCCGAAGCCGGUGGAGUAACCAUUUAUGGAGCUAGCCGUCGAAGGUGGGACAAAUGAUUGGGGUGAAGUCGUAACAAGGUAGCCGUAUCGGA
rnacentral:rRNA from 1 species